rnacentral:rRNA from 1 species
CCAGCAACCGCGGUUAUACAAAUUAUGAAAAUAAAUUAUUUUAGUUUAUAGUUAUUUAAUAUUUUAAUAAAAUUAAAAAUUAAAUUUUUAGGUUAAAUUAUAAAUUUAAUAUUAAUUUUUAAUAAAAAUAAUAAAGCUAUUAAAUCUUUAAAAUAAACUAGGAUUAGAUACCCUACUAUAAAAAAUGUAAUAUAUUAAAAACUUAGGUAGUAUUAGAUAUAAUCUUGAAACUUAAAAAAUUUGGCGGUGUUUUAAUCUAUUUAGAGGAACCUGUUCUAUAAUUGAUAAACCACGUUAAAUUUUACUAAAUUUUAUUAAAUUUGUAUACCGUCGUUAUCAGAUUAUUUUAAAAGAAAAUAAUAUUCAAAAAAUUUUAUAAAAUUUUAUUUCAGAUCAAGGUGCAGUUUAUAAUUUAGAAGAAAUGGGUUACAAUAAAGUUAUUUAAAUGGAUAAAUUAUUGAAAUAUAAUUUUUAAAGUGGAUUUAAUAGUAAUAUUAAUAAAAUAAUUAUUAUGAUUUUAGUUCUAAAACAUGUACAUAUCGCCCGUCGCUCUUUCUUUUAAAGAAAGAUAAGUCGUAACAAAGUAGAUGUACUGGAAAGUGUAUCUAGAAUGAU